AAGUUGCGUUUUACGGAAUAAAACCACGGAAGUAUUUGGAAUUGGACAAAUUAUUCAUCUGCAAUUUCCCAGAGAUCAAAUCCCCCAGAAAUCCAAAAAUGAAUGGCGAACUUCUGCGGCGAGGAAACGUUUUUUACAACAAGAAGUCUAAAUUUUUAGAAGCGACUGAAUAUUGCGCAGAUAGAAAUGCAGUUUGACAAAUUGAACAGUCAGCUUGUUUUUCGCCCUGCGUUUGGGUCAACACGCAAUGCUACCUCCCGUCACUGCAAGAAUUUAUAUGAUCUUAACGUGGCGCGUUAUGAAGUGCCGAUUACGCUGAACUUGAUUCCGAAGCCACUGGCCAAUCUCAGUACAAAGUGACGGUGCCCUCGCAGAACGGCGACUCUUUUUAUGUGCAGGUCUCCCGUCGAUCCACUGCGGAAGCGUUUUGUUCGACACCUCCCUCGCGGGCAUCACUUUUGAGGACGAACCGUCGCCGUUCAAGUGCCAAGCAGAAAUCUAUAUAAGGACUUGGCGAAAAUCAGCACACCUCCUUCAGGCGUCUUUGAUGACACUUAGCCUGUUUUCUCGCGGGACGAGUUUCCAAAUUCCGACGUGAGCCAAUUGAUUUAACAAAAAGUGUACAAUUUUUUUUCUAGAUUUUACUUAAAACAUUAAAAAAAUUUUUCAAGCCGGAUAAUAAUUUAAGGACUUCUUAUUGAUAUAGUCAAAUCAAGUCCUUACAACAAAAUAAUAAGAUUUUUGCGAU